UCCCUGGUGGCUCAGAGGGCAAAGCAUCUGCCUGCAAUGCAGAAAACCUGGGUUUGAUUCCUGGCUUGGGAA
rfam:TPA: Bos taurus chromosome 22, whole genome shotgun sequence.